CGGCUUGGGACUGCCUGGCGGGGCGGGGCCGAGCGGGGCGGGACGGGAUGCUGGCUCCACUCUAGGCCGCUGGCCGCCAGUCGCCUUGCGCUCUGUGGCGCCUAGACAUUGCCUCCAGUAAUCUGGCGGUAGAGGGGAACUCGUCAGCGCUGCGAGGGGGGUGAAAGUUCAGACCCUGGGCUGGGUGACGUCAGCGAGGGGGCGGGGCGCCUCGGUGCUUCUCGGCGGAGGGGAAAGUCCGGGCUGUUUCAGUUGAGCCAAGGAAUGGGAGGCGCCCUAGCCUGCCCGCAGGCCACAGCGCUUGGAAUCCUGCCUUCCCUGCUAUCUCCCUGAGGCAAGGGGUUGGAGGAGUGUUUCUCAAUGAGUCUCCACCUUACUUAUUGAGACACAGUGUGUCACUGAACCUGGAGCUCACUGACUCAACUUGACUGGGUAGCCAACAAACCCUAGGGACCCUGCUAUCCCUCAGCUUCUCCAGGAUUGUGAUUCCAUGCAUGUAUCACCGUGCCCAGGACGUUCUGACAAAUGCUCUAACAUUAAGCCAAGUGAAAUCAGCCAGUGACAAAAAUACAAAUGUUCUGAUCACACUUAACUAAGCUUCCUGUGUCUCUCAGCUUCCCCGAGAGACACUUCUCCUUGGUACCAGCUGUGCCUUCCCUGGGUGUGCAGCUGAGUUGUUUGCAGUUAACGAGCUUCAGAAAAUGUCAGCAUGAGGAAGCUGGAACAUGUGUGCCCGGGAGGAAGAGGGAAGCAUGGCUGAGACCCUCUUGGAACAUCUGAUCCUCUUGCCUCCACAGUGCUGGGGUUAGAUGUAGGCCUCUGCCUGGUGUAGUUUUAUGGGGAUUCUUGGGACGGAAUGUGGGGCUUUGUGUGUGCUACCGAGCUAUAGGUACAACCCAAACUCUGCCUUCUAAAUAAGCGUAAGUGAAUUAGGGCCACCAUUAUUCAUUGGAACAUUUUUGUUGGAAAUAAACGCUUCUGCUUUCCUUUGAUAGUGUUAGGAAGACAAAAAUGCCAUUUUUAACUUUUAUUGUUUGUUUUUGUUUUUUUUUUUUUUUUUUGAGACAGUGGUUUACUUCUCUGGCUGGCUUUGAACUCAGAGAUCCACUUGUCUUUGCUUCCCAAGUGCUGGGAUUAAAGGCAAGGCCAUCUUUUAAUCUUUCAGUGCCUUUAAUAUUUAAAAUGGGCUUCUUAGACAACAAAUAGUAAGCCUUUUCUUUUGAUCACCUCUGACUAGCUUGCUCCAGCUCUUUCUCCCGGUUCUCGUUCCAGUUCCCACCCCAUUACCUAGCUUGCUUGAUCUCUUUUUUUGUGCUGGAGAUGCCGCACAGGGUACCAUACAUUGUAAGCCUUGGUUCUAUCACUAUGCUACAGGCCUAGUUCUGCUGUCUUUUAAUUGGUGUAUUUGGACUACUGAUGCUUCUAGUACUAUCAAUAUAGCUGUAUUUCUGUCUCCCAUGUUUGUUAUUCCUUUCUGUUCUUUGACCUUGUUCUUUGAUCUCUUUCAUUCUUUUCCUACCCUUCCUGGUGUUAAUUGAGCAUUUUAUAAGGUUCCAUUUUCUCUUCUUUUUUUUUUCCGGAGCUGAGGACCGAACCCAGAGCCUUGCGCCUGCUAGGCAAGCGCUCUACCACUGAGCUAAAUCCCCAACCCCUUUUCUCUUCUUUCUUAGCAUGUCAAUUAUACUUAAAAAGAAUAAACAUCUAAAGAAGAGCUCAUGAGCUCCACUUCAGCCACUUCAGUUGAGACGCUAUUGGCG
rnacentral:lncRNA from 1 species